rnacentral:sRNA from 1 species
AUGGCUCACGCGCACACCCCGUUCCAAGCGCGCCUUCCACACCCAGCUGACGACUGCUCGCUACGUUCUGUCAGCG